UGCAGAUGAUGUGAAAGAAUAUUUGCUAUCUGAAAAGUCAAUGCUGACAAUUAUCACCAAGAUCGCUGAUGCA
ensembl:snoRNA SNORD24 Small nucleolar RNA SNORD24